AAAACGACUCUCGGCAACGGAUAUCUUGGCUCUCGCAUCGAUGAAGAACGUAGCGAAAUGCGAUACUUGGUGUGAAUUGCAGAAUCCCGUGAACCAUCGAGUCUUUGAACGCAAGUUGCGCCCCAAGCCUUUUGGCCGAGGGCACGUCUGCCUGGGUGUCACAA
rnacentral:rRNA from 3 species